GGGUGCAUAGCUCAGCUGGGAGAGCACCUGCCUUACAAGCAGGGGGUCACAGGUUCGAUCCCUGUUGUGCCCACCA
rnacentral:tRNA from 2 species